ACCCGGGUUUAUGAUUUCGCGCGACCGUUCCCACACGUUUAAAUAAUUUGCAGCACAAUUUUUGCGAUCUUAAACUGAAAUACACCAUCAAAUGGGAGGAUUCCCAGCGCAAAGUGUUUAUAAUCCUUAAACCGAUGUUUGUUGUAUCAUCGCCGGCGUAAACAGAGGAAACCUUCAAACUGUAGCUGCAAACACAUCGCCAAUUUCAAAGGAACAAGCAAACUCACUCAAAAGGAUAACGACCGUUUGAAAAUACAAGGACAACGGAUUCCUGUGUGUGUGUGGUUCAGCAACGGUAAAAGAUAAAUUGAGUAUAUUUUAGUACAAAAGAUUCGCCACUGAUUAUCAUCCUCGCGUUAGUGUUCUCAGAAAUUGGUAUGAGAGGAGGAUAUAUCGGUGACAAAGGAUCCACAGGUAGAAAAUUUGAGCAUGUGUUUGGUAAUUGUGUCGGGAAAUUGUGCCAGGGUUUUGGAGGAUAAGAAGCCGUGCAAAAAUCUGAUUGAUCAUUCGCUGUGUGAAGUGUGAAGACGAAAAGCCGUGUCCUUUUUUUACGGAGGACCAAUGCGGGCGUGUGUGUAUGUGUGUAAGUGAGAGGAGGAAAACCAAAUUUCCAGAAAAGUCACGGACUUUGUGCGAUGUGGAACCAGAAACCCCCGACAUACAGAAAAGUAAGAUUUUUUGGAUGUCUGUUUUGAUCUUCAGACGACCGAGACUGAAAAUUGCAUCUCUUCUGGACCGCUACGCUGUACGCAAGGUAAAAUAUCCCGCUACCGGUAAAAUCAAAUCAAAGCAUGCCAGAAAUGAUACGCCAAUGCCUUUCGAGAUAAUGCGAGGUUCGAGUUGAACUAAUUGCAAAAGCGGUUUGAAUGUUUAUUUAAAAUGUGGCGACCUCUAUCGGAGGAAUAUUAAUAUCGACCACUGUCCAGCGUUGCGGAAUGUCAUCAGCUGAAUUGCUGAACUGUCAUUAUUGACAGCAGUUGUUCCGCUCACCAAGAGAAGUAGAGACUCUCGUUUUGCCGGCUGAACACGCGACAGUGAUACCGAGUGCGCUCCCGACUUAAAAAAAAAACCGAUUAAAAGAUUAACCGAUCUAAGUUAAAUAAAAUUGCUUCCCCCACGUUACCGGAGAAGCUAAAACUGGUGACCCCGACGUGAUCGGUUAAUUGUUGUCGUUUUCCGAACAAUUUUUGCGUCAUUUGUGUUAUCUGUGCAACGCCAUUGUUCUCGCGCACCCGACGCUGUCGACACACGUCGUUCCCCGUCUCUUACCGCGUGUCGUCAUCCGCGAGUAAAAAAGUCGGUUCGUUACGUGUGCGAAAAAAGGUGCACUAUCGCGUGUUCCGGAUUGUCCCCGACGCAGUGUUCAUCGUUUCGGACCCUGGCAGACCCCGCUACCUUUCAGCCAGUCGUCCUUACCAACGAACCGACGCCAUUAAGUGGCCCGCGUCUCGGAUCCGCGAUUUUGUGAAUAGUGUCGUGUCGUGCUUUUCACGUGUCGCGUUGACCAUUGCAUUAGUGUUGCCUGAUACAAGGACGCCGAUUUUUGGCUCACGAGUUUAUCGACUUUCAUCGUCGCGAGUGAAAAAGAUCGCCCUUUUCGGUACGCGAGUGCAUAUACGUGUUUUCGACAUCGUCACGAGCAUAACACCGAUCUGAAGGGGAGUACUGUGGCGACCUCUAUCGGAGGAAUAUUAAUAUCGACCACCGUCCAGCGUUGCGGAAUGUCAUCAGCUGAAUUGCUGAACUGUCAUUAUUGACAGCAGUUGUUCCGCUCACCAAGAGAAGUAGAGACUCUCGUUUUGCCGGCUGAACACGCGACAGUGAUACCGAGUGCGCUCCCGACUUAAAAAAACCGAUUAAAAGAUUAACCGAUCUAAGUUAAAUAAAAUUGCUUCCCCCACGUUACCGGAGAAGCUAAAAAAAUUUCAAUGGUAUUUGUAAUAAGUUAGGAUGCUGGUAGCACUGGCAUGUGACAUCUAAGGCAGCUGUGGCAACACUGGACAUGACAGCUAGCUUGCUGUCAGGCAGACGCUAACGGUAACUGUACAGGGAAACCACGCAUGUAUGUGGGUCGUCUAUAAAUAGUUAAAUAAACAGUUUUCUACACUUGUUACAUGGUGUCAGAAGUAGAAGAACUCCCUUACAGUCGUUAUUAAGUACUAAACUCUUGGAAUCAAGUGUCGUUUAUAAAGAAUAAACGUAUAAAAAGUCGCGUAUCGCGUGUGGUAAAAUAUAAAGAACAAAACUGAACUGCACGACGGAAGUAAAGAUGUAGCCGCCAUUCAACGGUCCGAUUUCCACAACGUCAGUUGCUUUAAUUGUGGCCAAGCUUACAACGGGAGCCAUCGUCGCUACUGUCCAGCGAAAAAUGUGAAUUGCAACAAUUGCGGACGACGAGGUCCAAGAAAUUCUGCAAGGCUGCCAAGAACAACAAUACUACUGGGGUACCGCUGGAAGCAACGCGAGCACAAAUUGGUUCGAAGCAGAAGACAGAGAAAAACGUACAUAUGAUUGCAUGGUCUGAAUCAGGUAAUGUACAUGUCCAUAAAAGUAACAUAAAGGAAAAUGUUAGAUUUUCUCAAGAGCUUUGUAAUAAUUCUAAUUAUAGAGUAAACUCUAAUGAAACAACAGGAGGAUCUAAUGUCAAAUGGACUAAACGAUACCUUAUUCAGGACAGGCCGGUAGAAUUCAAGCUUGAUACGGGCGCUGAUGUCAAUUGUAUUCCGUUGAGAGUGGUGAACCCUAUGAAUUUAACUUUGUCGAACGAGUGUUCGUUUAAUAUUGUGGACUAUAACAAUAAUGACAUUAAAAUACACGGUCAGGUUCGUUCCCAAAUAGCCAAAUUAUCUUAAGCAGCCAAUUUCAGCACGCUAAAGAUCGCUGAUCUAGUAUGUCUUUUGCAGUAGAUAAGCAGCGUCAUAGUUCGUCGUACCUUUAACCGGGCCUUAAGCAGCUUUCGUAUUUCAAACCGUUAAAGAAAGUUUUUAUGCGCUUUUUAUUUUCAAGCAAAUUGUCUGUUUCGAGAUAGCCGCAAAAAUAAAAACAAGCAAAAUGCAAAAAAAAUGUGAAUUUCUGAGUAGUUAUGUCGCUUGUAUGGUUGUGUGUUAUCGAUGACAUUUUUUAUAUCGUAUGUCAGGUAGUUCUGUUAGUAGUGUGAGUGGAGUGUGUAUUGUGAUAUUGCAUCUUUUAUUAACGUUCCUAUAAUCCCUACAAAUUGAGAAUUGAACAUGGUAUUUCCUGCGUGAAGAGUGCUGUCUUUGUCGUUUGUACCAAUAGUUCUGUCGUUGCUCAUUAUGCUCUACCUGGACAAAAAGAAGUUAAGCAGCAAUCAUCGAACAUUCGAAGCGGUUGCUCAUCGAUGCUAUGCACAUUGGUAUCAUGCGUACCGAAGUGACAGCGACAAAAAAUUCCAACAAACUUUAUUGGGCCUUUGGAACCAGUCUUAGCAUGCACAAACAUGGUGUCGAUCGCUGGAUCAAUAAGGGGAGAAGGGGAGCGAGCAGUGAGAAUAUAAGAGGAACACAGAAUGAAAUGGAACAACAAUAGAGAAUUUCGCCAAGUCCAGGAAAUCGUGAACAAAAAGCCGGUUAGGAAAGCCUUUGCACCCAACACCAUUAGAUUGGGUGUACCGAACAAAAAGCACUCUUCAUUUGGCUCCCAGCACUUAGUCAGAGUAGACGCAGAAAGUGUAAGACAUUGCACUAGUAUACUUGAAAGAUGCCGUUCAACAUCGUAGAAACAGUGGAUGGCAGAGGGCAUAAGGAGUUGUUAGCGGUUCCUGAACCUUGGAUCCAGGGAACGAGCAAGGGAACGACGUAUUUUUUCUGGCUGAAUAUACAACAAAAGGAUCAGUUGAAUAAACUGAUUGAAGAUGACACCACACCAGCAUCCCAACAAGCUCUUGGGAACGUAUAUUAUGCAGAGUGAAACUUGUGUGAUUAACUACUAUUUCGGAUGCCAACAAAGUUAUCAAUCAAAUGUGCUUGAAGUCCUCAACCGAAUCCAGUGAAAAUUUUUUGCUAAAACAUAAACCACAAAAGACAAAACAACAAUAUUCAAGAAGA